rnacentral:ribozyme from 1 species
UUUUGAGAUCUCUUGCGAAAAAAAGAAGAGGAUGCUUGCGGUUGUCUUUGGUCGAGAAAAAUAAAGAAAUUGAUCGAAUAUAUCAUCGAAAUAUAUAUAUUGU